rnacentral:lncRNA from 1 species
GAGAAUGUAACAUACCAAGGUUAUGUGUGCCACCAAGUAGAAUUUGCUUGCAUCAAAUCAAAUUGUGACUUACAAAAGUAAUGAACUUCUUAGAAAAUCCCUGUAGAUGACUGUUUUAAAUCAUUUGUAUAGCGGGGGAGGAACGGGGAUGGUGCUGACUUCGUAACGUGGGUCAUAAGUUAUCAUCAUAGGCUAUUACUCGUGGCUGGGUAUGAUGGACUUCUAAGUGUAGAGUGUUGGUGAUGGGUUUGUAGGUGGCAUAUUCUCUGUAAAGGCAUAUUCUUCAUCUGCAUGUUCUUUUGCAGUGAGGACAUUGAUUUCCAUAUUGAAGACGAGGAUUGGGUUGAUGCGUCUUCCUCUUGACACGUUUCUCCUUUCACUCUCCAUUCAUGCCUCUUUGCAAUUCCUCUGCACUGUUGGUGACAGCUAACCUCCAAUUAGAAUGCUCGAGGGCCAGGGUUUCCCAGUUCUCAGGGUCUAUGAGCAGAGCUCAGACUUUAAAACACUAUGAUAUUCUGGGAACCAUAUAUAAAACAAUCUAAAAUAAGCUGAAUGGAAGUAGUGCAUACAGUGAAGCGGUAUUUAGAAGAGAUUUAGAAUCCUGACAUAGUAGUGUAGUCAUAUCCUAUUGUAGAAUUACUGGGCCUCAGUGAUCUUUAUGAACUGAUGAAUCCAUCAGUUAUCCUUUUCCCUACAUUUUUAAUGUCAUGUCUAGCAAGCUGUUGGUUAGGAAAUGAAUUGUGAUAAAUUCCUAUGAAAAGGAACCUGAUAUGUUUUCAAACUGCCAAACAAAUUCAUGUGGUGUAGCUAUUCCUGGCAUACAGAAGAACAUGUUGUGCCUGCCUACAUGCCAUGCAGUGGAUAGAAAUGAAGAAAAUGGAGAAAACAUAGCUAAAUGCACAUGAAUUCAAUCUUAGAAUUUUAAGAACUAAACCUGCAAACCCUGUGCCUCAAUGGGUGAUUAUGUAAGUUUCUUUGUCUUUUUCUUUAUCACUUCAAAUUAUUUCCAUUGCAAUUAUGAGAAGUCUGUGAAUUUUGUAAAAUUCUUUGUAUAAAAAGAAGAAAAAGUAACCAAAAAUUGAAAUCCCCAUCCAUUCCUAGCAGGCAAGAAUCACAUUGUGGCUAUGCACUCAGUCCCCUUCUAGUAUCUAUCUCUCUUCGACAAGCUUGGUGUUGUCAUAUGUUACAUCUGGAGUGUUUCCCUUAUGAAAUCACCAUGGAAACACUGGCCUGUGUGAUAAGACAAAUAAGAUAACUGGUAAUUUGUCAUCACCUAGUACCACUGAGAAAAAACUGUAUGGUGCUGCCUCAACCAAUAGAAAUUGAAUCUAAGCAGCUUCCAAGGCGUGAACAUAUCGUGAGUAGCAACCCUUGGAUGAAUAAACAUGCCAUUUGAUAGGAAAAUUCUUGCUCAUUCAGAUGCAUUAAGGAGACUGAGAAAAUGCAGACACAAUUGGAUUGUGAUUCACUGAAUGGUAAAGGAAUUAGUUUCCUUUAUUAU